rnacentral:rRNA from 1 species
AACGAACAUUAGCGGCGCGCCUAACACAUGCAAGUCGAGCGAGAAGGAAGUAAUUCCUGUAAAGCGGCACACGGGUGAGUAACACGUAGGUAAUCUGCCUCGAGGUGGUGGAUAACCUUCCGAAAGGAGGGCUAAUACAGCAUGAGACCACGUCUUCGAGAGAGGAUGAGGUUAAAGCGGGCCUCUAUACAUAAGCUCGC